GCAGAGCAGAACGGGUUUCUUGCUGCAGAGAAGCUACAUGGCUACUCAUGUUUAAGAAGAGAGGGUGGUGUGAUUGAGGCAGAGCUAGGAUGAGAUGAAAAUAGUAGUGAUGUGGAGUCUGGGGGGACCUAGGUACAAGGUGAGAAGGGAUAGAAGAACCAGGAGAG